rnacentral:rRNA from 1 species
CCUACGUGAGGCAGCAGUGAGGAAUAUUGGUCAAUGGGCGCGAGCCUGAACCAGCCAAGUAGCGUGAAGGAUGACUGCCCUACGGGUUGUAAACUUCUUUUAUAAAGGAAUAAAGUGCGGCACGUGUGCCUUUUUGUAUGUACUUUAUGAAUAAGGACCGGCUAACUCCGUGCCAGCAGCCGCGGUAAUACGGAGGAUCCGAGCGUUAUCCGGAUUUAUUGGGUUUACAUGGAGCGUAGAUGGGUUGUUAAGUCAGUUGUGAAAGUUUGCGGCUCAACCGUAAAAUUGCAAUUGAUACUGGCAGUCUUGAGUACAGUUGAGGUAGGCGGAAUUCGUGGUGUAGCGGUGAAAUGCUUAGAUAUCACGAAGAACUCCGAUUGCGAAGGCAGCUUACUAAACUGCGACUGACAUUGAUGCUCGAAAGUGUGGGUAUCAAACAGGAUUAGAUACCCGGGUAGUC